rnacentral:rRNA from 1 species
UACGUAGGUGGCAAGCGUUGUCCGGAAUUAUUGGGCGUAAAGCGCGCGCAGGCGGUCCUUUAAGUCUGAUGUGAAAGCCCACGGCUCAACCGUGGAGGGUCAUUGGAAACUGGGGGACUUGAGUACAGAAGAGAAGAGUGGAAUUCCACGUGUAGCGGUGAAAUGCGCAGAUAUCAGGAGAACACCGUGGCGAAGGCAGCUCUCUGGGACGGUACUGACGCUGAGACGCGAAAGCGUGGGGAGCGAACAGGAU